rnacentral:lncRNA from 1 species
CUUUGGUACUUGCUGGACAGACUGCUGCCACGCCGGCUGGCUAGGUCACUCUGUUCUCUCUCAACCAGAGGGUAGAGGAGCAAGACUGGAAUGGCUGCAGAUGAAACUGGCUGUUGUGUUGUGCCUCUAAGUCCCUCUUUGGGGUUUGGUGGCAGGAAGAGUCUGGGGGUCACAGCCAAUGAAGACCUGACUGACAACAAUCCCUGGACACCCUAGAAAGAAAAUGGGCCACACCUCCUCGACUGCACUGGAUCCAACUUGCUCCAUUUCAAUGGACACUCCGGCCAGAGGUUCGGGUACUGACUUCAAUCAAGUUGAGGAUUUCAAGCAAGAUCUUCAAUCAAGUGAAUCCCAUCUAACAUGGACUGGAUACAAUUCAUUCAAGACUUUCACUAUACUAACAUUUUCUUCCUACAGGACCUCACGUGACUAUCAUCGUCCCAUUUCAGCAGGAAGUAACUUGGAGGAUACUACGUGCCCUUUCCCCAUUGUUGUCACUUAGGAGAGUGUAUAUAACUAGUUAGGGAUAGCUUCCUAUUGUUUACUGUUGGGAUUGGAAGGAGGUGUUCAGGCUUGGAUACCUCUCUCAGAUGACUUUAGGGUUUAGUUAACAUAGAUAGUUAGGAUGUGACAUAAGCAGAUGUAAGGAGCCGUUACAAGCUAGUGCGCAUGUGCACUAGGUAACUUUGUAACUUUCCAGCCCUUGGUCUCCGCCCCUCCCGUGACGUCAUAUGGUCCGAUGAGAUUCAGCCAGUCAGAGAGUAACACUUCUGAGGUGGCAGUUGCCAGCCUAUAUAAGGGAUGGGUUUUUGGGAGUUUGGAGUCUCCGCUCUGUAAGCUUAUGCUCUCUCUCUCAAGACGCAUUAGAGCUUUACUGCAGAAGGAUCCUGAAGAGUGUUCCUGUGUCGUUUUUGCUGGCGAGAAGGUUAGCGCGGGACAUCUGGUGCCGAAACCCGGGAAAUUGACCUCAUCAUCGUCAGCACCAUCGGAGACCCCUUGGCUGCAAGGAGGAUUCAGAACUGCAGGGAGCUGUGUGAAAGAUCUGACUGGAAAGAAGAAAGUACCUAAUUGAUCUGAGACAUAAGAGCCUUAAUCCAGUAGCUGAUGGAAGCAGAAGAAGACAACCACAGCUAAACACUGAGCUAAACUCUGGAAACCAGUUGAAGAGUAGGAGUGAUGAGCAAAGUGGUCAAGACCAGACUGGAGAAACACACAGAAACAGCUGACCUGAACAAGAGGGAGCUCAUGGACCCCACACUGAUAGCUGGGAAAUCAGCAUAGGACUGUCAGUUUGAAGGUCUGGUUAAUCUAUG